rnacentral:tRNA from 1 species
GGGCCCAUAGCUCAACGGCAGAGCAGCAGACUUUUAAUCUGUUGGUUGAUGGUUCGAAUCCAUCUGGGCUCACAA